rnacentral:lncRNA from 1 species
CAGCCGGACGCCGGGCUGGGCGCCCCGGAGCAGCCUCCACCGCUGAUAUCAGGGGCCAAGGUCCAGGCGGGGAGCACACGGCGGCACCGGGACAGCCUGAGCCAGGCGGCCGUGCCCCUACGCAGCACCAUGAGGCUGUGGCUGCUCUGCGGCUUCGCUGCCACCGUGGCCCUUGUGGCCGUGGCCCGAGCCGACCACGGUGACUCGAAGAAGGUCGCACGGGGGAGAGAGGAGUCGCAGUCAACAUCCUGGCACGCCAGGGAGGAUGAUGAGGUUCAGCCGGGCAGGCGGGGGAGAGCCAGGAGGGAGGACAAGGAACCAGCCCAGCCCAUGAGGCACCCCGGCAGCGUCCUGCUGCCGUGGCAGGAAGCGCUGAGCACCCGGACGGUGUGGCGAGGAGGGGUGCCGGCAGCCGGGCGCAGCCCCACGCCAGGAGAGAGCCGGGGGUCCGGCCACCCCCAGGCUGUGCCGUAGGGCCCACCUGCCCCCUCCCAGCCCUGAGGCAGCCAGGGGGCCUGUGCCCCCCACCCAGGGCACAAGCAAGCCUGUGCCUGUGCAAGCUCAGCCCCCGUGCACCCCCAAACUGCUUCUUGGGGCACCUGCCCCCCCUCUUUGCCAAGCCACCAAAUAAAGCCAGCGAGCCACAGGGAGUGGAUGCGUUUGUGGAGGGGGAGCAUGGUGGAUG